AGCAGAUGCACUUGUGUCUCAGGAUCACAGCCCUGAGCUCUUGUAGGUACGAGUCUGUCUCCCUCUCCCCCUUUCUCUCGCACUCACGGUCCGACCAGGAGCUUUGCUCUCAGCCACUGCUCUGAAGACAACUGUCCUUUUGGAAGAGCCAUGAUCGCAAUGACUCUGGAUUUCAGCAGCUGAAAUCACAACAGUACAAGAAGGAUCAAGGAGUACUUGGACUUUUAUAGAUGCCAUUGAACAAAACCAAACCCACAGCCUGGGGAGGAAGAAAAAGGAGAACUGCAAAUGUCCAGCACCUCCAGGGUCUGUAUCUUGUUCAACUCCAGCCUGCUGACACACUGAUGAACAGCAUCUGCCAAUUCAAAGCAGCUCCGACCAGACUGACUUGAUGCAAUCUGGCAACCUUAAUCACCUUAAGCUGUCCUCUGGAAUACCUGUUCUGCAUCUCAAAGUGCCUUUUCCACACA